rnacentral:rRNA from 1 species
GAUGAACGCUAGCGGGAGGCCUAACACAUGCAAGCCGAGCGGGAUUUGAGACUAGCUUGCUAGUCUUAAUGAGAGCGGCGUACGGGUGCGGAACACGUGUGCAACCUGCCUUUAUCUGGGAGAUAGCCUUUCGAAAGGAAGAUUAAUAUCCCAUAAUAUAAUGAUUGGCAUCAAUUAUUAUUGAAAGCUACGGCGGAUAGAGAUGGGCACGCGCAAGAUUAGAUAGUUGGUGAGGUAACGGCUCACCAAGUCGAUGAUCUUUAGGGGGCCUGAGAAGGUGAACCCCCACACUGGUGCUGAGACACGGACCAGACUCCUACGGGAGGCAGCAGUGAGGAAUAUUGGACAAUGGGUGAAAGCCUGAUCCAGCCAUCCCGCGUGAAGGAUUAAGGACCUAUGGUUUGUAAACUUCUUUUCUACAGGGAUAAACCUACUCUCGUGAGAGUAGCUGAAGGUACUGUAGGAAUAAGCACCGGCUAACUCCGUGCCAGCAGCCGCAGUAACAC